GGAUGAUGGCGAGGUCAAUUUUUGAGCAUACUCUUAAAUAUCUCUCAAGCUUGGUAGAGAUUCUUUCCUUCUUUCUGUCUGAAACUCAAGGUCUCACUCCUCAAGCG